UGGGGAAUUUUGGACAAUGGGGGCAACCCUGAUCCAGCAAUGCCGCGUGUGUGAAGAAGGCCUUCGGGUUGUAAAGCACUUUUGUCCGGGAAGAAAUCGCACCUGAUAAUACCGGGUGUGGAUGACGGUACCGGAAGAAUAAGGACCGGCUAACUACGUGCCAGCAGCCGCGGUAAUACGUAGGGUCCAAGCGUUAAUCGGAAUUACUGGGCGUAAAGCGUGCGCAGGCGGUUGUGCAAGACCGAUGUGGAAUCCCCGGGCUUAACCUGGGAAUUGCAUUGGUGACUGCACGGCUAGAGUGUGUCAGAGGGGGGUAGAAUUCCACGUGUAGCAGUGAAAUGCGUAGAGAUGUGGAGGAAUACCGAUGGCGAAGGCAGCCCCCUGGGAUAACACUGUCGCUCAUGCACGAAAGCGUGGGGAGCAAACAGG
rnacentral:rRNA from 1 species